CUGCAGCCCAUUAAGCCGACUGUCCUCAUUCCUGUGAUGGCCAAUGUGCAAUGGCUGCAAAGAGCAGCCUCCUCAGUAGUGUACGCAGCCUGAUGGCAUGUACAGGCUGCCCUAAGGGACCGUGGAGACAACC
ensembl:snoRNA SNORA70 Small nucleolar RNA SNORA70